GAUGAACGCUGGCGGCGUGCCUAAUACAUGCAAGUCGAGCGAACAGACGAGGAGCUUGCUCCUCUGACGUUAGCGGCGGACGGGUGAGUAACACGUGGAUAACCUACCUAUAAGACUGGGAUGACUUCGGGAAACCGGAGCUAAUACCGGAUAAUAUAUUGAACCGCAUGGUUCAAUAGUGAAAGACGGUUUUGCUGUCACUUAUAGAUGGAUCCGCGCCGCAUUAGCUAGUUGGUAAGGUAACGGCUUACCAAGGCAACGAUGCGUAGCCGACCUGAGAGGGUGAUCGGCCACACUGGAACUGGGACACGGUCCAGACUCCUACGGGAGGCAGCAGUAGGGAAUCUUCCGCAAUGGGCGAAAGCCUGACGGAGCAACGCCGCGUGAGUGAUGAAGGUCUUCGGAUCGUAAAACUCUGUUAUUAGGGAAGAACAAAUGUGUAAGUAACUAUGCACGUCUUGACGGUACCUAAUCAGAAAGCCACGGCUAACUACGUG
rnacentral:rRNA from 1 species